AGCAGCCAUUCAUUUAAAGAGUGCGUAACAGCUCACUGGUCGAGCGACAGGGCAUCGAUAAUAAUCGGGCAUCAAACACAGUACCGAAGCUUAGGAUUCCGCCGUAAGGCGGACUGGUAGGGGAGCAUUCUAUUCAGCGACGAAGGUACCUGGUGAUGGGUAUUGGAGCGGAUAGAAAAGCAAAUGUAGGCAUAAGUAACGAUAAUGCGGGUGAGAAACCCGCACACCGAUAGACUAAGGUUUCCCCGGCAAUGCUAAUCAGCCGGGGGUUAGUCAGGACCUAAGGCGAACCCGAAAGGGGUAGUCGAUGGACAAUCAGUUAAUAUUCUGAUACUGGCAUUAAUUGCGAUGGGGUGACGGAGUAGUGAAAGUACCGCGUACUGACGGAAUAGUACGUUAAAGCGUGUAGGUAUAGGAGUGGUAGGAAAAUCCGCCAUUCUUGCUGAACGUGAAAGUACCGCAAUCCUACGGGAGCGCGGAUAGUGUACCUAAUCAGACUUCCGAGAAAACCCUCUAAGCUUCAGAUUAAUGCCACCUGUACCGUAAACCGACACAGGUAGUCAAGGAGAGAAUCCUGAGGUGCUCGAGUGAUUCAUGGCUAAGGAACUAGGCAAAAUAGCCCUGUAACUUCGGGAGAAGGGGCGCCCCCAGCGAUGGGGGCCGCAGUGAAAAGGCCCAGGCGACUGUUUAUCAAAAACACAGGGCUCUGCCAAAUCGAAAGAUGACGUAUA
rnacentral:rRNA from 11 species